rnacentral:rRNA from 1 species
CACGUGAGUGACCUGCCCUCCACUCUGGGAUAAGCCUUGGAAACGAGGUCUAAUACUGGAUAGGACCAAAGCCUGCAUGGGUUUUGGUGGAAAGUUUUUCGGUGGGGGAUGGACUCGCGGCCUAUCAGCUUGUUGGUGAGGUAGUGGCUCACCAAGGCGACGACGGGUAGCCGGCCUGAGAGGGUGACCGGCCACACUGGGACUGAGACACGGCCCAGACUCCUACGGGAGGCAGCAGUGGGGAAUAUUGCACAAUGGGCGAAAGCCUGAUGCAGCGACGCCGCGUGAGGGAUGAAGGCCUUCGGGUUGUAAACCUCUUUCGCCAGGGAAGAAGCGAGAGUGACGGUACCUGGAGAAGAAGCACCGGCUAACUACGUG